GGUUGCUGAGAAAUUGCAUUGCUGACUAUAACACAAAUCUCUCCGACUUCAGAAACCACAGAACUCCAGUUGGGUUGCUUUUGAUGCUGUCGAGCCCCUCAGCUGUGUUGUGAUCAUGUAAACUGUUGCUCAGAAACAGAUCACUUUGUCCACUGCUGUUAAGAAUGAAUUGGAACUGGACCAUUAGGAUAUGCUUUCACUCAGCCUGGAUGUCUUGAAAGCCUGUUACUUGCUGUAAGAGGAGAAGUAAUGAACUGGCUGGCACCUAUCCAGCAGUAGGCUCAGCUUUAAAACAAAGUGAAUCUCCAGGGAUUUCUGACUCCAAGGCUAACGGUGAGGUUCAAGCAGGAGAAAGCACAAUGAGAUACGAUGGAGCAUGGAUCAGUAAUUCAUAGGAAAGACCAUCAAAGCAAGCAGCUCCAGAUGGAGAAUCUAACAAGAAUACUGAGUUAGAUCUUUCCUACAACUGAACAUCUUGACUGAGGAGCAGUGCCUGAAGACUGGAGAGUUACUGAAUGUUACACCCUUAAAGGAAAGAAUGUAAGUUUAGAUCCGGCAAAUACAGAGAAGCUUCAGAGUGCCAAGUUCAAAUGUCUCAGGAUAAAACGAUUACGGAAACACUGGAUAUCGACUACCUGGUUCCUCAAAGCCAGAAGGGAAUGGUCAAAUACAAAAUUAAAGGAUC